AUUUCCUAACAACUCCUUCCCAUUCUUGAGGCUUCUCCCAACUAACUCAGAGGCCCGAGGAAGGGAGGCCAAGCCGCUGUGUGGCUAGGAUCUAUGGCCAUGAACUUACAGGAAAAUGUGACCUUGGCCAUGGCUGUGUUCACCAUUCUGGCUUCCAUCUACUUCUUCCACAAGUCUCAGCAGUGAGAAGACAUGGCUCCCUAGUCCACCAGCCCUUUCCUAGUCCACCAGCCCAACCUCCAUCUGUUCAACCAUGACUUGGGCCUCUGAGACUUAAUAAAUGUAACAGCACAAGA